rnacentral:lncRNA from 1 species
UCCCACUCUUAGCUCUAAUCUUUCUCCAAAGACCAAAAAUAAAUCCAUAGUGCUUCUAAAGUACUUAGGGAUAUUUUGCCCAGCAAUCUAGUGCUCUCAGCUUAGAUUCAAUAAAUAUCUGCUCGUGACUCACACAGUAAGAUAUACGAAAUUGAGUACAUAGCAUGGCAUACACCUAUGCCCUAGAGGAUAAUAGAUCCCUCUUGGAGGUUUCUAUGCUAAACCCUUUCAACACCUCUUCUAU